rnacentral:lncRNA from 1 species
UUCUUUCAGGUGAUACAUUCGUGAGCAUCUUGCUUGCUAAUCAAUGAUAUUUUGUGUUCUUUGAGUUAUCUUAUAUAAGUUGUUUAGCAUGCUAUCUACAAUCUUUAAUAAUUAAGUUUUUAUCAUUGCAUAUUCUUAAUGAUGCAUUUACUAUUGAAUUUUGUUGGAUAGUGAAUCCUAUAUUUUCUAAUCUUGAUGGUUCCUAUACUAUCAUAUUGGUUUAUCGGAUGAUAACUUACUUGGAAUACUUUUGUGUUCUAAUCUAAGAUUUCUUCACAGAUAAUUCAAUCUCUUAGAUUAUAACUUUGAUAUUGUCCAUAUAUUAAUCUUUGAGUUUGGGCUUGUAUAGGUAAACUAGCUUCAACAUUUCGUGUGCAUGGUGAAAUCUCUAGAUAUGGGGUAACUACUAUAAACUGGUCACAUCACCCACCUCUCUAUUGAUAUUCCUUAUUCCGUUAAAAGGCCUUAACUGUGUAAACAACUCUAACUACCUAUUUAUAGUAGUCUAUUUAAACCUUACUGACGUGUUUAGUUUCUUUGCUCAAGACAAUUAGGGCUUUUGGCUUCUCUCUCUAUGCCACCUAUGGGUAGGGGCAUAUCACACUUUUAUAAGCUAGGUGACACUCAGAGUAGCAAGGGUGGUUAACUUCGUUAGUCAUUUCUUUGUCGGCAACAGCUGGAAGGUGUCUGAGUUGGUAAUGCAUCCACGUUAGACAAAGAGGUUAAACUCAUUUAAGUUGGUGCAUUUCUCAUAUAGUGUGAUCAUUGUGAACUUUUUCUAGAGUUGUUUCUUUGGCGGUGGUCUAGACUCGAGUAUGCAUCAAUGAGGAUAUCAAUCUUCCCUACAGGGGGAGAGUGUCGUAAAUGUGACCUUGGAUAUCAAAAAUUAUCUGUCAGCUAGUAAUUAUGGACACUCUUUCUUUACUGCCACAAUGGCAAGAGGUCGGUAUUGCUGGACCUUUUAUCAAUCCCUCUUGUUCAAGUGUUAGUAAACUAGACUUUGCAUCUGUACUUGGCCAAAUGAGCAUAAAGACAGAAUUCCUAAGUAUCUAUUUAGCCAAGUAUACUUAGCUCGGCUUUUUAGUUCUCUUUUACUCUAUCUUGCACUUGCUUGACAAGAACCCUCGCAUAUUGAGAUUAGUCCCUCAAUAACACUAGAUGAUAGCUUAUCGUGUCUGCUAAACACCCUCAUUAUCAUGCCCUUUGUGUUAGUCUCAUUCCAAUCCCAAAUGCUAUUUAUGGAAAGUGUUUAGAUUUGCUCAUUUGGCAUAUCUAUGGAAUGUAGAGAUUGUCUUGAACACAAUGGUGUUCGUCCUAUGUCCAAAUUCAUAAUUUAGAGAUAUUCUAUAUUUAAUAAGUUUUGAGCUUGUCCUAGAGACUAACUUCUAGUACUAAGGGAGGAUUGGGGUGAAAGCCCAAAGCGUGUGUUCUUUGAAAGGGGGGGGGGGGGGGGGGGUAGGGAUAGUGGGUAGGUCAGGCAUAGUUUAGCUCUCGCUUGCGUGCCUGUCUUUGUUUUGCAUCCAGCUUGGGUCUAAGCCCAAGUUCCACACUAUGCUAGCUGGUGAAGUACCCAUACCCUUGUGUUAGGCCGUCGGUAUACUGAAAUAGCGCUAAACACCAUUUGGCUUCAUUUUGCACGUUAGUUCUAGCAUUGGGAUGUUAGUUGCUCUAGGACUAAUCCAAGUUGCUCUGUGCUCCUGUCCCUUCACUCCUUGGGCUAUAUGCUUAGGAAUCAUUCCGUCAUCCGGUUCCAUCACUAUGUUUGGGAGUUUGGCACCGUACCUUCAUUCAGUAGCCCAAGGCUCUGAAACUUGGGUUCCACUCCGCUGUCCUUUAGACAUGUGGCAUAUGACACGUGGCAUAUGGAGGGUUUAAGUUCCACUUUGUGAUUAUCCUAUGGUAAAUUACCAUAGGAUAAUUGGUAAAAAUCACAUGCACUACAUCAACUAACAAUCACUCUUUAACUUGCCUUCACAAAACCCAAACACUAAACUCACAUUAUUAAGUCAUAUAUUUGUCCAAUAUGAAUGUAAUACCCCAAAUAUGAGAUAUUGGCUCAUGGACAAGCACGAACUAAAUGUCUACUUGAAUUCAACUCAACCAUAAUAAACUCACUAAUGCAUUUAGCCAAUAGCUCUAAGCAUGCUUUGAAAAGGCUAGCUAUGCAUAAUUAACACUUAGUCAAAACUAAAGUGAAGACUAUGAGAUGGACUCAUAUUGGUAAACAACCUCUUCAUAAACAAAGUUAUAGUAUGGGCACCAACAUCUCAACCUGAAACAACUAAAUUGGACAUCACUAUCCUUAUCCAAGAUGCAGGGCCAUGAAGACCAAGUCAAGAUCAACAAAGACUCACUACUCUUAUAGAGUCUUAAUGAGUGUAAAGUGCAACUUACCACCAAGCAUAACUCUAUAAAAGAAAGGCAUAAAUAUUACCUUUCUAAAAAAGUGCAAUGGCCACUUUUCUACACCAACUCUAGACUUUAUCCAACUCAAUUGCUUUAGUCCCAAAAGUCAGCAUCCCUUUCGGGUUGCAUCAUACAAACUACCUACUAAGGUCUAAGCUAACCGAAAUCAAUUCCAAUCCCUUCACUAGUUUAUACUGGCUUACAAAAAUAGAAUGGUUUUCGAGCAAAAAUGAUUAACAAAUCAGCCAUUGGAAAAGCCUAAGAAAAUUUGUGGAAAGAAUUUUAGAGAAAAAAUGACUCUUAGUUUAGGAAUGUAAAUUUUCAAGACUCAGCCAACUUCCUCCUAUUUACAACUUCAUGUAAGUUCACCCCAACACCAAUUCUUAUGACCCAUAGUAUGCUUAAGCCUCGAACAUCAUACCCAUAUUUUUUAUAUCCAACAUUGACAUUCGUAAAAUGCAAAAUGAACAUUUAAGGCUUGAUCACGAAAACCAUAUCUUCAGACAUCCACAUUGCACUAACACUCUUCUUUAAUCAUCUUUAAGAUUUAAUGUGAAUCCAAAACAUUAAUAAGAAAAAUGACAUAGGAAAUCAAGGUCUAGGGAAAAUUCCUCAUCAUUCGAAAUAACAAUGCCACUUCCACUAACACAAGUGUUAGUAAUGUUAAUGCCUUAAUUUUACACCUUCUUUAUCCAACAAUCUACUCCAAGUGCUAAUAGAUCAACCAACAAACAAUAGCAAGUGAAUGCCAUAACCUUAAUAAACAAACUCCUCAGGAAACAAGAUACCAACUUAAGUUUAACACAUCAUAGAUCACUAUUGAGAAUCCAGUCAAGGCUACUUCAAUGUUACUAUUUGCAACUAGAUUAGCUUCACUAUCAACCACUUUGGGGUUAAUCAUUGUAUAACCAAGUAACUUUGUAAAUAUAUUACUUAUUAUCACAUGGAUAUAAUAUAAAAUCACAAUGACUUAAUCAUCAAUUGAGCAACACCAUGAGUAAUGCAUAUAUUACUACUACAAAGGUUAUAUAAAUAUGAAGUGCCAACUCAAUUCGACAAAAUGCAACAUAAAUGCCACACUCCACUGAUAGAGAUUUACGAUACCCAACACCACUAACAUUUGUUCACAACAUGGACAAGCUCAUGCCAUUAGUAGAUCCUUCUUAGGCAUGAUUAUAAGUGGAUCAAUCAUGACUAUAAGAAUUAGUCUAUUGGUUCAAAGUAGUCAUUGCCGUGUUCUCUCAUAAACUUUUCUUAGAUUAGACUGAAGGCAAUGCAAAAGUAAGCUUGAGGUUUGGUCAAAGAUGAGACCGAAAAGAGAGUUACUAGAGUUGAAGGAUCAAACACAUAAAUCAUUUUCUUUUCUUGGAGAGAUGAUUUGCAACGAGGUGUGACUCAUUGCUCAUGUUCACGAUAUGCAAUCAAAAGUCCCUAUUCUGAUGCAUGUUGGAAAUGAUAGUCUUACAAGUGGUGAGUCAUGGGAUGGAUAGUAGUGAAGCGCUAUAUCAUUUUAUCUAGACUUACUAUUGAAGACUUAGAUUACAAUGCUCAAUUCUUUUUUCAGGAACCUUGCUAUUGCUCCUUGAGUAACAUAGUGUUGGAUUAAUUUUGAGUUUAGUUUGAAAAGAGAGUGACAUAAGCUUGUCUGUGUUGUGAACAAAAGUUAGUGGUAUUAGGUGUUGUAAAUCUUUAUCAGUGGGGUGUAGCAUUUAUGUUAUAUUUUAUCAAAUUAAGUUGGCACUUGAUAUUCAUAUAAACCUUUGAAGUAAUGACAUGAACAUUACUUAUAGUGUUGCUCAAUUAAUGAUCAAGUUAUUGUGACUUCCAUAUUAUAUCUAUAUGAUAAUGAGUAAUGUGUUUAUAAAGUUGUUUGGUUAGACGAUAAUCAAUGCCAAAGUGGUUGAUGGUGAAGUUAAUCUACUUAUAAGUAGUAGCAUUGUAAUAGCUUUAACUGGAUUCUCAAUGGUGAACCAUUAUGCUAAGCUUAAGUUAGUUCCUUGAGUUUGCCUAUUGAGGUGAUGGAAAAGGGUUAUAACAUUCAAUUAUUAUAGCUCGUUAGUUGAUCCAUUGGCACUUGGAGUAGAUUGUUGAAUCGAAGAGGUAUGUAGUUGAGGCAUUGACAUUAUUAGCAUUUGUGUUAAUGGAAGUGGCAUUAUUAUUNNNNNNNNNNNNNNNNNNNNNNNNNNNNNNNNNNNNNNNNNNNNNNNNNNNNNNNNNNNNNNNNNNNNNNNNNNNNNNNNNNNNNNNNNNNNNNNNNNNNNNNNNNNNNNNNNNNNNNNNNNNNNNNNNNNNNNNNNNNNNNNNNNNAUAAGGCAACCUGAAAAGGAUGCUAACCUUUAGGGCUAAGGCAAUUGAGUUGGAUAAAGUCUAGAGUUGGUGUGAAAAAAUGGCCAUUGUACUGUUCUAGAAAGGUGACCUUUAGGCCUUUCUUUUAUAGUGUUAUGCUUGGUGGUAGGUUGCACCUUACAUUUCAUUAGAUUCUAUGAGAGUAGUGAGCUCUCAUUGAUCUUGACUUGGUCUUGGUAGCUUUGUGCCUUGGUUGAAGAUAAUAAUGUCCAACUUAAUUAUUCAAAGUUGAAAUGUUAGUACUCGUACUAUAACUGUCUAUGAAGAGGUUGUGUACCGAUAUAAGUCUAUCUCAUGGUCUUCACUUUAGUUUCGGUUGAGUGUUGAUCAUGCAUAGCUAGCCUCUUCAAGGCAUGCUUAGAGCUAUUGGCUAAACGUAUUAGUGAGCUUAGUGCAGUUGAGUUGGAUUGAAGUGGUCAUUUAGUUCAUGCUUGUUCAUGAGCUAAUAUCUCAUAUAUGGGGUAUUGCAUUCACACUGGACAAAUAUAUGAUUUAAUAACGUGAGUUUAAUGUUUGGGUUUUAUGAAGGCAAUUUGAAGAGUGAUUGUUGGUUGUUUUAUUACUAGUGAUUGUUCAUAAACUUGGUCAAAGACUAUUUGACACUUUCUUCGUUCAAUGAUGAUUUAAUAAUGAUGGGCUUGCUUUAUCGGAUAGUGUUGCAAAGGAUCGUGUCAUUAAACUUACAUGGUUCUUUCAUGUUGGCAUAUCAAUUCUACCUUUGUCAAUGUCAUUUGGUUGCAUUUAAUCUGUAAAGUUGGAUUUCAUGAAGUCUUGGAUGUGGUGAAUCACUCCUCGAUGAUAUGUUAUUUGAAACUAAGUAGUGUUGGAGGAUUAAUUUUAAAUACUAAUUAAAGUAUCUUUGACUUUGGUUAGCUUGGUUGCUGGAGAGCUUUGAGUGGUAAUUCACUCUUGCUUUCUAUUAGCUUUGUUAUAGUGUUGAUGACAUAGAAGUGAUGCCUUGUCAUUGACAUUAUUAUUGUUGAAAUUCAAGUGGGAUGAAAUAUCUCUCCGUGGGAUUGAUAUUGAGUUUCAUUAGUCUUGAUGUAAAUAAUGUUGAUGCUUGGGCUGUAGCUUUAUAUUAUUGGCAGCUACAUAAUUGUUAAUUAACAACUGUGUUGACGUUCAAACGAGUUGAGUGGCAAGUUUGAGUUAAUUAUGUUUUAGACAAAAUUAUUUAGUAGGGGUUGAGCUUUGGCUUUUCUUUGAAAAGUGAUUUAGUCAUGGACUAUAUUAGCCUUACAAGAGAAAGAGUUAGUGAUCGAUAUUGAAGUGAUUGAAUCUUUGUUAGAUUUAAUUUGGGAUAUAUUAAUUAUUAAUGAUUCUUCUUGUGCUUGUUCUAAAGUGAGUUACGUUUUGCUAUAGAUGAAUUCAUGAAGGAUCAUUUGAUGAUCACUUAUUGAGCAUAGCUUCAUUAUGUUUAGCUUUUGAGUUAAUGCAAAUAUACUCUUCAUUAGCUUUGGCAUUAUGAAGUUUGGCUUAUGGAUGUAUUAAGGAGGAUAUUGUGAGUUGUACCUGAUUUCUUCUUUAACAUUAAAAUUAAUUCAUGUGAGACUCGUGAUCAUUGUUAGGCAAGACUUAGCUAUAAAAUUCUUCAAGCUUUUGGUUCUUUGAGUUUUAUGCUCAUUGUCCUAUUUGUUAGAAGUUGUUGGGGAAGGCAUUUGGUUUAUUAACUUUGAUGUUGAAGUUAGUUUUUGCAUCUAGCAAUCAUUGGUGAUAAUUGAUUAUCAUCUUGGGAUAGUUGAUUGUUCUCAUUAAAAGUUUUGUUUGAUUAUUGUUGAUUUAGAAUGACUUGCCAUUCUUCGGGAUGGUGAAUUCUUUCUUCGACGAUGAUUAUGCAUCUUUUCAUUGAUGGGAUGAUUGAUGAUCUUUUAUGAUAGUUAGUUAUUCUCUUUGAUGGCUUAUGGUUUUCGCAUUACCACAUGUUCUUUGUGGUUUGCUCUAGAUUGGUCUCAGACAUCAGUAAUAUGUUGCUGACACUCGCUUGAGCAACUCUAGUUCCUUGGUAUUAUUAACCGGAAUUUAUACAGAUUUGCUAGUGCAAUAAUUGGCAUGAAUGAGUAUUUAUUGGUCAUGCAACAUUCAUUCUGUUUUGUUAAUUGUUGCUUGAGUUAGUUUUUAUAGAUUAGAAUGUUAGUUCCUUCACAUGAUACAUUCGCGAGUAUCUUACUUGCCAGUCAAUGAUACUUUGUGUUCUUUGAGUUAUCUUAUAUAAGUUGUUUAGCAUGCUGUCUACAAUCUUUGAUAGUUAAGUUUUUAUCAUUACGUAUUCUUAAUGAUGCAUUUACUAUUGAAUUUUGUUGGAUAGUGAAUCGUAUGUUUUUUGAUCUUGAUAGUUCCUAUACUAUCAUAUUGGUUUAUCGGAUGAUAACUUACUUGGAAUACUUUUGUGUUCUAAUCUAAGAUUUCUUCACAGAUAAUUCAAUCUCUUAGAUAUCAUUGUUUAUAACUUUGAUAUUGUCCAUAUAUUAAUCUUUGAGUUUGGGCUAGUAUAGGUAACUAGCUUCAGCNNNNNNNNNNNNNNNNNNNNNNNNNNNNNNNNNNNNNNNNNNNNNNNNNNNNNNNNNNNNNNNNNNNNNNNNNNNNNNNNNNNNNNNNNNNNNNNNNNNNUAUCAUGCCCUUUGUGUCAUCUCAUUCCGGUCCUAAAUGCUAUUUAUGGAAAGUGUUCAGAUUUGCUCAUUUGGCAUAUCUAUGGAAUGUAGAGAUUAUCUUGAACACAAUGGUGUUUGUCCUAUGUCCAAAUUCAUAAUUUAGAGAUAUUCUAUAUUUAGUAAGUUUUGAGCUUGUCUUAGAGAAUAACUUCUAGUACUAAGGGAGGAUUGGGGCGAAAGCCCAAAGCAUGUGUUCCUUCGGGGGGGGGCGGGAGGGGGGGUUAUGGGGGGUUUUAAAUGUAUAGUAGGGAUAGUGGGUAGGUUGGGCAUGGCCAACUAACCUGAGGCAUAGUUUAGCUCCCGCUUGCGUGCCUAUCAUUGUUUUGCGUCUAACUUGGGUCUAAGCCUAAGUUCCACACUAUGCUAGUUGGUGGAGUACCCAUAUCCUUGUGUUAGGCCACUAGUAUGUUGAAAUAGCGCCAGACACCAUUUGGCUCUGUUUUGCGUGUUGGUUCUGUCAUUAGGAUGUUGGUUAUUCUAGGACUGAUCUAAGUUGCUCCGUGCUCUUGUCUCUUCACUCCUUAUGCUAUAUGCUCGGGAGUAAUUCUAUGGUUUAGUUCCAUCACUCCUUGGCUCUAUGCUUAGGAGUUUGGCACCGUACCUUCGUUCAGUGGCCCAAGUCUCUAAAACUCGGGUUGCACUCCACUGUCCUUUGGACAUGUGGCAUAUAGAGGGUUUAGGUUCCACUUCGUGGUUAUCCUAUAGUAAAUCACCAUAGGAUAAAUGGUAAAAACCACAUUCGCUAUAGCAACCAACAAUCACUUUUUAACUUGCCUUCACAAGACCCAAACACUAAACUCACGUCGUUAAGUUAUAUAUUUGUUCAAUAUGAAUGUAAUACCCUAGAUAUGAGAUAUUGGCUCAUGGACAAGCACAAACUAAAAUGACCACUUGAAUCCAACUCAACCACAAUAAGCUCACUCAUGCAUUUAACUAAUAGCUCUGAGCAUGCUUUGAAAAUGCUAGUUAUGCAUGAUCAACACUUAGUCAAAACUAAAGUGAAGACCGUGAGAUGGACUCAUAUUGGUACACAACCUCCUCAUAGAUAAAGCUAUAGUAUGGGUACUAACAUCUCAACCUGAAACAAUUAAGUUGGACAUCACUAUCCUCAGCCAAGGUGCAAGGCCACGAAGACCAAGUCAAGAUUAACAAAAGCUCACUACUCUCAAAGUCUUAAUGAAAUGCAAGGUGUAACUUGCCACCAAGCAUAACUCUAUAAAAGAAAGGCAUAAAUAUCACCUUUCUAGAAAAGCGUAAUGGCCACUUUUCUACACCAACUCCAGACUCUAUUUAACUCAAUUGUCUUACCCCCAAAAGUCAGCAUCCCUUUCGGGUUGCAUCAUACAAAUUACCUACUAAGGUUUAAGCUAACCGAAAUUAAUUCCAACCCCUUCACUAGUUCGUAUUGGCUUACAAAAAUAGAAUGGUUUUCGAGCAAAAAUGAUUAACAAAUCAGCCAUUGAAAAAGCCUAAGAAAAUUUGUGGAAAUUUUCCAUCUUUCCAUAGAGGGUCCUAUGAUCAAGUCUUGUGGUACUAAGGGUUGUUAAAAAUCUGAUGGCUUGGUGUGCUUGGCUGUUUAUGCCUGCAAGGAGUGUAGCCGAACCUUAAGUCUAAUCUAACCUAGAGAGGGGGAUUGGGAGAGAUUUGGGAAUCCGUUGAGGGAUUGUUAGCACUCUGUUGCUCGUGUAGUGAGUAGCUGAAACCAAGUAGGAGCUAGUACCAUAGGCGGGAACCUUGGCGAGGGAACUUAGCUAAGUUUAAGGAAGUGUCGGUCAAAUAGAUAAGGUAAGUUGGCAAAUUGAAAAGGAAAAAUUUGUGGCUUACACCAAGCCAAACGUAGAACAAGGACAGGCAUGCAAGCGGGAGCUAGACUAUGCCUUAAGUUUGUCGGCCAUGCCCGACCUACCCACUAUCCCUAUUAUACAUUUAGAACCCCCCAUAACACUCCACUUUUGAGGAACACAUGCUUUUGGCUUUCACCCCAAGCCUCUUUUAGUAUCAGAAGUUAAUUUCUAAGACAAGCUCGAAACUUAUUAAAUAUGAAAUGUCCUUAAAUUGUGAAUUUGGACAUAGGAUGAACACCAUUGUGUUCAAAACAAUCUCUACAUUCUGUAGAUAUGCCAAAUAAGCAAAUUGUAAGCAACCAAAGAGAACAAUUCGAGAGACAAUCCAUGGGGUUCAAAUAUAAAGGGAAAGGGCCCAUGAAUAAGAGUGCACCCUCUUUUCCAAUCGGUUAAGGGUUUUGGGAUACUUAAGGUUAAGCGUCCUUGGGUUUGAAUAGUACUGAGCUGGGUGACCUCCCGGGAAGACUUUCCAUAAAUAACAAUUAAAUGAGACGAACACAAAAGGCAUGAUAAUGAGGGUGUUUGGCAGACAUGGUAAACUAUCAUUCAGUGAUAUUGAGGGAUUAAUGUCAAUCUUGUCAAGCCAAUGCAAGACAAAACAAAAGAGAACUAAAAGCCAAGCCAAGUAUGCUUAGCUAGAAACAUAUAGGAGUUCCUACUUUAUGUCCAUCUAGCUAAGUACAGAUGCUAAGCCUAGUAAACUAACACUUGAACAAGAGAGGCUGAUAAAAGGAACUAGCAAUAUCGACCUCCUGCCGUUAUGGUAAUAAGGAAAAAAUAUCCGAAAGGACUAACUGACAUAUAACUUUCAAUACCCGAAGUCACAUUUGCGACAAUAAACCACUCUUGAGCUCAUGGGUUGAAGAGUUUAGCUGUGAGUUGAGGUCAAUUUUUAAUUGUAGUAUAAUACAAAUAUUAUAAAUUUAAAAGAACUUAAGGUUCAUGGUGAAUUUAAUAUUUUUGAAACUAAUUACAUUAUAAAAAUGACAUUUCUUAUUUUAACAUUUUAAAUAUUUAUUAUAUACUAUAAUAGAGAUGUUCUUUAGAAUAUAAAAUAAGAAAAGAUUUAUUUUUAGAAGAAGUGAUUUUGUUACUUCCUUAAAUCUAUACUAUGUGCUUUUUAUUUAGUAAAUAUCAGGUUUAUUAGAAUUUUAAAAUUAUUAAAUUUGAAAUAAGAUUAUAUACAAGGUCAUGUAACUAUUUGAAAGGAAGAAAAUAGCCAUUAAUAUAAGUUAAAAGAGAGAUUUGGUUUUUCUUUAGAAUACAUUCUUGAGGGGUUUAUCAUAUCAUAGUGUUUAGAAUUUAUAAAUUUUCACUUGUACUCUUAUUCAAAAAAAGGGAAAUACAUAUAAAUGUCUAUGGGCUCUAGUAUUAGUACUUUUCACUCUUGCAAUCUUUCUUCCUAGGGUAGUAAUUCAAGGGUUAGAAGUUGCAAUAGUUGUGUUAUUGCACAAUAUAACUAAAUGAUAUAAAAAAUAAAAAGAAAAUUGUGAAAAUAGUGAUUACAAAUUGAAGAUAAACAUAAUGACAAAGGGUGCAAUAAAUUAACUGUAGAGAAAUGCCCUUCUAUUUUUUUAAAAAAACUAUAAUUUUAUGACUUUCAAGAAAUACUCUUGUUAUUUUUUGGUUUCUAAUAGAAAGAAUGGCGAUGAUUAGUAUGAUGGUAUAUAUGCUCUUGCAACACAUUGCAACAUUAUACCUAUAAAAGACUACUAAAGAUAAAAAUGGAGACAUAUUGGUAUUAUAGACAAUAUUGCAAAAGGAACACUUCUAAGUGUAUAAAUUAAAAAAUAUACUUUUUAAUUAAUUAUAUAAAGUAUAAUAAGCUUAUGUUAUUGAUAGAAAAUAAAUAUCAAUAGUCUUAUAGUUUUGGUAAAUCUAGUUAGCUCCAAGACUUGUCUAGUGUACAUCUAAAAUUCUAUCCCAAACAAUAUAAUGUAAGAAAAAGAUAUUAUAAUGUAUAAAAUAUAACAUAUAUACCUCCCAAGGCUAAUAGCAAGUUUUAUGCCUUCUAGUAAAUUCCACAAGCUAGCCUCUUCUAGUUGAGUCUUUUGCCAGCCUAGAUUAAGCAGGGAACUUGUGAUAAAAUCCUUAAGGAUAGUUUUUUGAAUAUGCUUUGAAAUUGUAGAUGAGUUUCUCAAAGUCUUCUUACAUAACAUUUUUGAAACAAUAAAGAAAACUCUUUUAUAUCCCUUCUUAUAUUGAAUGCAUGUAUGUCCUAAUAUGCAUACCCACUCCAUCCCAAAGAAGAAAGUAGUACAUCUUGACCUCAUAGAUAGUAUGAUAUAGAGGAGCAUUUUUUCAGAACUGGCACUUUAAUCCAAUAGUAAUGUGUCAUAAGCAAAAGGAUUGAUUACUGACCUUUCAUAAAUAUGGAAUUUCUAUAACAAUCUCAAUUGUAUAUUUCAUUCAUGCAAUCCAAAUGCUAACCACACUGAACCAUAAACCCUAUACCUUUAAAAUAUUGAAAGUGUGGUUUUGAUCUUGCACAUAUUAUGAACAUCUUACUUGAUCUCCAUCCCCUUCUGUCUGGAACUAGUGUUGGUAAUAAGAAGUGGUAGCUAGAAGAAGAUGUUGGUGUUGUAUUAGGAUGGAAGCUCACUCAUGGGCCUAUACAAAAAUAAGCAUAUAUAAACUAAAAGGUGGGAAAAUUAGAAAGUAUUGCUAAUAACUUUAAAUAUUGUUAAAGAUAGAGUUGGUGAAUUUGAGGCCAACACUAGUAUAACUUCUCCACUUGAAAUGGAAGCAAAGAGGAUAAUGAUUGAUUUUUGCUUCACAUUCACUUGGCUGGAGUAUAUUUUAGAACUUUGACUAAAGAUCCAAAAACUUAAAUCUACUUGAACUUGGAAUUUUAUAAAUCCCAUUACUGUCCACCCUCACCCACACUAGAAAGAAGAAACUUUAAACAUGCAACCAUAUCAGUGUUGUUACAAAUCACAACCUUUAAUAGAAUAAAGCAUUAUAUCACAAAUGUGGCUACAGGUAUUGAAAAUUAUAUGUCAGCAAAUCCUUUCAGAUAUUUUUUCCUUACUAUCACAACAAUAAGAGGUUAGUAUUACUAAUUCCCUUUCAACCCCAUUAGUAAACUUGACUUAAUAUAUAUAUUUGGCUAGAUAAGCAUAAAAGAGGAAUUCCUAAGUGUCUAUUUAGCCAAGUAUACUUAUAACAGUAAUAGUAUGUAGCCUAAUUUAUUAAUUCUCUUUCACUUUGUUAUGCACUAACAUGAUGAAAACCCCUGUAAUAUUGAGAUUGGUCCCUCAAUAUUCAUUAGGUGAUAGCUUACUAUAUCUACUAAGUCACUCUCGCUAUCAUGCCCUACAUGUUGGUUUCGUUUGAUCCUAUUGGUUAUUUAUGGAAAUGGUGGUGUUCCUAUGUUCAAAUUUGCAAUUUAACACCAUUUUAAAUUUAGUAAGUUUUUGUCACUGUUCUAGAGACUAACUCUUGGGACUAAAAUGAAAGCCCAAAGCAUGCAUUCUUUAGUGGGGGGCGGGGGGGGGGGGGCACUAGAGGGGGUUCCAAAUGUAUAGUAGGGAUAGUGGGUAAGUUGGGCAUGAUUAAUUAACUUAAGGUAUGGUUCAGCUUUUGCUUGUGUGUUUGUCUUUGUUUUAUGUCUGACUUGGAUCUAAGCCCAAAUUCUAUACUAUGUUAGUUGGUGGAAUAUCUAUAUCCUUGCAUUAGGCCACCGAUAUACUAAAAUUAUGUUAAACUCCAUUUGGCUCCAUUUUGUAUGUUGGUCUUGACAUUAGGAUGUUAAAUAUUCUAGAACUAUUCCAAGUCUUGUCUAUUCACUCCUUGGGCUAUAUGCUUAGGAGUCAUUCUAUGCUCCUCCAAGCCUUGGGCUACUAAAUAAAGGGACAAAGCCAAAUUCUUAAGUAUGGAGCCAAAGAGUGAAGAAGUUUUGCUCUACUGCUCUUGGACAUGUGGUAUAUGGAGGGUUUAGGUUCUGCUUUAUGGUUAUCUUAUGGUAAAUCACCAUAGAAUAAAAAUUGAAAACCAUAUGCACUACAUUUGAUAUCAAAGGAUCAAAAUAUUGAUAAAAGAACUUUAAAAAACAAGGCUUUGAGAGAAUGAAAGCUGUAGAAGAAACCUUUCCAUCCUUCUAUAUAGGUUUUGGAGUUCUUUAUCUCUCUUUAUGCUACUUAUAAAAAUCCACAGUGAAACAUAAAUUAAAAUUUAAGGAGAGCAAAAUAUCAAUAAUGUAUAAAAUGAAAAUAAAUACUACAACAUAUCUAACAUGCGUAAGUGUGACAAUUGUAAUAUUACUAUCAUUUGUUAUGAUGUUUAAUGCAUACAUGUAUAUAGAUCUAAGGAAGAGUUUUCAACAUAUAGUGAUGAUGUCAAUAAUAACAUUUUGCUAUGGCAUGUAGAUCCAAGAUAUCUGAUCCAAUUAUCAACAUAUAUGAAGUGUCAUUAGUUUAUCAAAUCUUACAUGCUAGGUGAUGUCAGUAAUGAUAAUUCUUAAAUAACAUAUAUUCAAUUCUUAGUAUGAGUCAAGUUUUAUCCAUAAGUGCGAACACUAAUUAAUGACAUUUAGAAAACAUACCUAUAGUUUAGGUUCUUACACAAGACAAAAUAAAUUUAUGAAUAAGGAUUCAUCCAUUCAUAAAUUAAUAUAGUACAACAUAAUGUGCCUUAUUUAUACUCUUUAAAUUUCCUAUAAAAAAUCCAAAAUAUAUACAAAAUAUUGAUGAGAAGGCACCUUUUCUAUAAAAUUAGUUUAAUGAAUAAACUAAGAUCUAUGAUAUAGUGAUGUGGUGAUAAUGAAACAAACAGCAAAGAUUUAAAUUAUUGGAAUGAGUGGCCAAGAUGAGAGAUUGGUUAGGGUUAGGGUAGCUACCAAGAUUAGUUUUAGGGUAUUGUUGGUGCCAUGAGUUGAGCACAAGUUAAGUGCACGAGUGAUUGAAUGAGUGAGAGAUUGAGAGCAUGAGUGAUUAAACAUACAAGAGAUUGAGAGACUGAGACAAGAGGGGAUGGUCCAAAGUUGAGUUGAGCUCAAUUUAACACAAGUCAACUCAAGUCAACACAGUCAACUAGAAGUAUUACAAAGGAAAUCUAAAUUGAACAAAUGAAGGUUCUAGCAAACUUUAAAAUAUUUAAAUAUGUAAAUAUUUGAGUUAAAAGUUUCUAUAAGAUUGAAUUGUUUAAAGAAGACAAAGUUCAUGAGAACCUAUCUUUUAUAAAGCUAUAUUAUUUUAUUAUGACUAUUGUUACAGCUGUCAUAUUUUGAUUUGACUACUUAAUAUUUUGAAUAUUUUUACAGCUGUAUAUUUCUUCAUUCAAAAGAUUUUUUAGGGUUCGUAAGAAGAUGGGAAGCAAGGAAAAUACAAGAUCUGUGAGUAAAAGUUGUAAUGCAAAAAAAUGUGAGAAUGCUAAUUUUAUUUCACUACCAUAAUUUCCAUAUUACACUUCUAAUCCUUAUUACCCAUCUAGGAAUGUGGAGAUCACUAUCACGAUUGAUAAAAAUGCUCAUGUUACUUCUGAAACAACAGUCCAAAACAAGAAAAAUAAAGAAAUGAACAGUACAGUAGAAAACACCAAGAAAUCUACUCCAUAAAACUUUCUAUGAUAUUUGUAAUUAAAGUGCACACCUUAAACGAGGAUAAUACUGUAAUAGUAAAUUUAAACCAUUUAAGAAAGUACUAUAAAGAUAUAAACAUAAAUAUUAUCUAUAUUUUAGAGUAUAAAACUAUGGAUAAGCAUGUGGAUGAAGCCCUUCCAAGGAUUCAUUAUGAUAAACUACCUAAGUGCAUAGAUAACAUGGCCAAUUGAAUGAAGGAUAAAGGUCUAAAAAAAUUCUACAAAACUACAUCAAACUUUGUAAGACCAUAGGAAGGUAAAUUAAUUUUUCAAUUAUGGGAUCUUGUAAAAUUAACUUUCAAAAUGGAUGGAAGGGAUAUUAAAAUCACUUAGGAUCUUAUUUCCAAACUUUUCUAUCUCUCUAUAGAGCUAAAUCAGUGGAAUUGGAUAGAAGAAGUAGUCUUUUCUGAUAAGCUUAAACAAGGAUCUACUUAUCUAGAAUAAAGGGAAAAUACAUAUCCCUUAGGAAAGAUUUAUCUUUAUGUUAUCUAAGUGUUUUCUUUGAUGGGGAAGUUCCAAGAAAAGAAAUCAAGGGAUAUAUUAGAUAAAUAUUUCUUUUUUUGGAGCAAGCUUUCUCUCAAAAUCUUGUUGGUAUGGUCUAUAGAAAUUUUCUCCAGGCAAUGUAAAACUUAGAAGAAAAGAAAAGAAAGAGUAAAUACUUUAAGAGUAAUGUCUAUAUUUUAAUUUCCCCAUUCUAUAAACUUUAUCAGCAAACCACAAGGAUUAAUGAGUAGAGAUUACUAGGCUAAUAAGGAAAAAAAAAUUCCACAAUACAUUUGCAUACAAAAGCAAACUAGAUGUAAGCUCCUGAAUUUGGACUUCCCAGGAAGUCACCCAGCCCAGUAUUAUUCAAACCCAAAGACACUUAACCUCAAAUAUCCCAAGACCCUUAACCAAUUGGAGGAGCAGGUGCACUUUUGUUUAUGGGCCCUUUCCCUUUAUAUUUGAACCCCAUGGAUCGUUUCUUGAAUUGGUCCCUUUGGUUGCUUACACUAGAGCAGGAUUUGGAGAAUCCGACUACCUAAGGAUAGAUAGCAUAGGUAGAAAAAGCAUUACUUACAUGUACUUACAUAUUUAAUAUUUUAAGUUCAUUAGAACCUUCAUUUGUUCAAUUUAAAUUUCCUUUAUAAAACUUUUGAUUAACCGUAUUGACUUGUAUUGACUUUUGUUAAGUUGAGCUCAACUCAACUUUGGACCACCCUCAAGAAGACUAGACAAAACAUGUAAAAGCAUUUUGAUCUACUAACAUAUAUAGAUGGUAAGGAUAAAGUUUUUAAAUAUCAAGCCACCAAAAUUGUUAUUAAACAAAUUCCAAUAUCUUACAAGAUGUUAUGAUAUGCUUGGACAAUAUGCAAUUACAUUUUGCCAUCAAAUAUAUACAGCUGAGCAUAAAUUUGUCCCAAAAUUAAAGAAAUUAAUAAUCACUAUGUUGGGUUGGAGAAACACAACAAAAAAAAAUUAAUUGUCAAGUUUUCUAAAAAAAUGGAUUAGUGGCCUAAACUGCUUCAAUCUAUGACUUAAGGGAGUGAUCAAGUUUAUAUUAGCUCUACUCUUGCCUAAAACUUGAAAAGAGCAAUUGGUCUUAAUGAAUAAUAAUAUAGAAAGUCAUGGAGAAGAAAUGGAGCUAAGAUGAAAAAAGUAGAUGACUCAUUUAGUUUAAUUAAACUAAAUAUUCUUGUUUUCCAAAACCACAAAUGUUGUAUCCAUUGUACAAGUUUGAGGAUGAGCAUGGAGACAAAAAUGAAAUGGUCUACAUCUCCAUAAUACAUAUAAAGGUGGUUUUUGAUUCAACAUUAUCAUUUAACAUUGAUAAAAUGCCAUUGACAUAUAGCUCUAUUCUCCAUUAGAAUUGUGUUUUGCUUAUGUGUUAGUUACUCCAAGACUGGGAUUGUUAGACAAGGAACAAAAGUUUAAUGAUGACGCUCCAAUUGUUAUUCUUGCAAUGCUAAGGAGAAAAUAUUCUUUAAGGGUUGUAUUGUCCUAUAAAAUAUCAGUGGUAACCAUUAAAACUUUGAUGCAAAGGCAAAUAUAGAUUUUGGAGCCUUGGCACAAUUGCUAGAAUUUAUUAAUGGUGGUGCACUCUUGAUUAAUAUUGUUAAAUAUGUUGGUGAUGUAUUGAAUAAAGAGAUUGAAAUCCUAAAGAACAAAAUCACUUUUUUCAAAAAAGGUGAAAAACCAAGAAAUAGUAAAAAAAGAUUUGAUUAAGACUAUAUAAUAAGUCAAAGUAGAGUAGUGGCUAUACUAUAUAUUGAUUCAAAUAUUGAUUUAAUUUGGUUGAGGAAAAAUUUUGCUUACAUACAAAUUUUUAGCUUUGAAUCUUGAUACUCUACAAAAGUUAUAUCAAGCAUUGAAAUAAUUUAAUACAACACUUCACUUGCAGCUCUACCAAAUUAUUCAACACCAAUAAUGGCUUUCUAGUUUGACGAAAAGGAUAUGAAAAAACCAUUAAUAUCAAAGUGGUGGGAGACAAUGAAACUACUAAUAAACUAUUAAAAUAGAUAAAAAAUAAAUGAUAAAUUUUUGUUGAACACUAUUUCCAAAACUUUACUUUUAUAAAGGCUUUGGAAAUCACUAGUCCACCCAUCUAAUCCAAAAUUUUAAUUAAGUUAUGGCUUUAUGUUAAUCCUAAAUGCCUAUCCAAUGUGCAUUGAAUUUAAAUCCGAUGAGUGAAGGUUUGGGAUUUGAUUUUUGCUAUGGCUAAUAUAAUAAAUAUGCUCUUCAAUAAAUAUAGAGAGAUGGCAAAUAUAUAAUAUGUAAAAACAAAAUGUAUUGAAAAUAAUUAUAAGAUCUAGAAAAAAUAAAAAUACUAAUAAAAAAGAGUUAGCCACUGCAAGGAAACGCCUAACAAUGGAUAGGCCAAAUUCAAUAGAGUUGAACUAAGAUUAUACCAUUGGAAUUUAUUUUUUUCUAUUUACUUGAUGAUGUUGUAUCAUUAUCAAGUGUAAUUUUUAGUCAUGCUAUAAGGCAUAAUUUUAUUCGUGUUAUUUUGCUCUUACUUUUUUAGUAAUGAUGUAGUUAAUCUGUUUAUGAGCUCAGAUUGGGUAAUAAUUUUAAAUAAUGAACCUGCCCUUUAUUUUUAGAUAUUUUAAAUUACUGAAACAGCUGAAUUACACUUAAAAUACUGUGAAAACCAUUAGAAUUAAGGAGGAGAUUCCAUUUUCUGUACAAAAUGAAGUUACAACAAAAACUCUCUAAGAUAUUUAACUCGAGUUGGAUGCUUCAACUUCAUCAUUCCCCGAAUCUCAUACUUUCGAACCAUCUCCCUUGAAAGGUUGAGGUUACGUCCAAUCUCAGUGAACGAUCUCUCGCCCUUUCCAUCCAGUCCAUAGCGCUGGCGAAUUAUCAAGCUCUCCUUUGGUUUCAAAGAAUCUAGCUGCAAGAAAGAAUGUUAGAGAAGAACAGAGGUGUAAGAGAAACAUACUACAUCGUCCAUUCCAAGGCGAAGUUGAGCUCCCGCGUUAUAAUACUGUGCCUCGUUCUCGUCUGGAUCGCUGAUGCUGUGGAUCAGCUCCUCUCCUGUAACUUUGGAGCGCGCAUUUAGCGAUCUCCUGGGAGCACCCGUCCUCAGGACUUCAAAGUAUCUCCUCGAGUCCAUCUUAAGUUCCGUGAUCACCUCCUCGUGCGUUGGUUCCCUGUCGAGCUCGAGAGACAGCUGAGCUCGCUUUCUCUGGAUAGUCAUCUUUUGCUGCCGGACAAAACAACGAGUCCCUCGUCACCUCACGGAGCUCUAGAGAAAGAAGAAAGCUAAAAGGCUUACCGCAGCAACGUUGUAUGGUACUCUAACGAUGUGUCCCAGCCUUGUUUGUGCUCGGAGAAUGCUGUUUUUAACCCAGUAUACUGCGUAAGUCGAGAAGCGAUAGCCUUUCUUUGGAUCAAACUUAUCGACUGCGCUCAUGAGGCCCGGGACACCCUCUUGGCAUAAGUCGAGCAAAGAUAAGCUGAGCUCCUCUUUGAAGUACUUACGAGCCUGAUGAGCUACUAGCCGGAGGUUGUGCUGCAAAACAAGCAGUGCUGGCUGAGAUCAUGAUAUCCUGGCUUGGAAACUAGUAACAGGAUAUCGAGAUUAUGUGUGAACCUUGAUCAUCUUGUUCCUUGCGGCCUGACCCGACUGUAACAGCCGCCGAAGCGUCUGUACACUCAUCUCUGCCACCUUGGCCCAUUCUUCCUCGGAAGGCUCUCUCUUUAAAUGCUCGAAAAACUUUAGUCUUACUUGCUGGAGCCUCUGCAUAGAAAACAGGUUUUAGAAGAAAAACAUAGAGAAGUAGAGCAUAUGUACCUUUGCCGGGGCCAUGAACCACGCAAGACGAACUUCUUCCGGGCCUGUCAAGCGAAGCCGCGGAAGUUUGUCCCAGUUGAGCACUAGCAUGCUUCCACUGGCACCAUACUCCUUGAUAAGAACCUCGGCCUCCUGAGACCACGGAUCGAAUUCACAACCUGGCGGAGCUGAAACUUUCGCUGGAGUUUCAACCUCUUCACUGAUCAAAGGAGCGCGAUCCUUUGCCAGCUUCUCAACACGCUCCCUAUGCAAGGCCAUCCUGCUCUCCAGACCAAGCCGACGCUUCUUAUGGUGCUUGACGGUCAAAGGCUGGCUGACCAAAUCCAUAGACAAAGCUCGCUGUUCUUCUUCCACGCCGUGAAACCUCUCUAGUGACCGUAGUAGCACCGGCUUAAAAGCUGGUUGACGGUAGGCCGAUUCGAGCAGAGCCGAGAGACUGUUCCUAAGCGAGAGUUCAUCCAAAGUCAUGGAUGGCGACAAAGCCUCGAGCUCCUCAGUGGCCACUGCCGGUAUCUGUGUGUUCUUGCGACGUCCACCUUUCUUUGGAGAAGUUGACGCCUUUGCCUUUCGUUUAUCCUUCGCUGCUAACUGUUUGUCCGAAUCUACCAGUGCAUCCUCCACGUAUCUACACCUCCAGCAGUGCUGGAGAUCCACCCUGUGGCCAAAAAUCCCACUAGUUGCCGCUCUAAGUCCCUGGAGCUGCGAGCAAAAAAAUGAGCUCUCCAAGACCCCCGGAAUUGGUCCCCAGCAUUGAGAGAACGAUCCUCUGUGAAAGAUGUGUGUGGCAGCCGCUGCGUAAGCAUAAGCUACCAGGACCAUUUUUUAGUCUCACCACAUCUGGAAGGAAAAAAGAAAGAAAGAAAGAAAUCCGGUGAGUCAAUCGCUCUACAAUCCAUUCCAAGCACACACAGAUCGAUCUUAUCGAUCGCUCUAUCCGCUCUAUCCGCAAAAUCGCGAGCUCGCGAUGAGCGACUCGCGACCUAGCCAUGCUCAAGCGCUGCGAUUGGAAUUCCAUACUCCAAUCCUGCCUAGAUCUACCUGAGAGAGGAUUGGCUGUCGAGAUUGCGUACCUGAGCGGCGCCCGGAUUCCGUCGCUGCGCCAAGAAUUUGGCUCCACGCCGCGCCGCGCAUUCAAACCAGCGCCAUAGCCACGGGGCGGUGCGCUUAGCUUUGAGCAUAUUGGCGGCAUUCCAUGCGUUGGAUUUCCCAUCCAACGGCCCACAUUUCGGGGAAAAACCCGCGGAUUAGGGUUUAAACUCCAACCGAUAAACCGACGUGUCACUUUUUUAUCCAAGAACGCCCACGUGGCAAACUAUCUUGAUAUUUGAAUCGAGGAGCCCUAAAAAAAUGGGGGGCUUUUAGCGCAAGGCGGCGAUAUGGAUCGAGGUUUGUGAUUCUUUCUUAUAGAUCUCACGCUUGGAGGGAGCGCAUUGCUUGUAGCAUUCGAUUUGUGUUGGCUGGGGUGAGUUUAGAUGAUCGAGUGUUGUCUCUGUUCUUGGGGCGUCGAUUUGGUAUUUGAUCUUUGUAAACCCUGGUACGCUGCUACUUGUGUUUCUCCCCUUUUCCUUCCAUUGAUCAUUUCGCUUGUUACUUGUGGCAAUGGUUCUAAAUCUUCCUUGGGCGCAAGAAUUUCUCGUCCCAAGCAUUGCUCCUUUGCCUUGUUUAUUUUUCUUCCACUCUUUCCAUUGACAAUUUUUGCUUGUUAACUUUCUUCGCUGCUCACUGGCAUGUUUUACUUACUUGGUGCUCUCUCUUUUGCUUGGCCGUGUUUUUCUAAGAGUCGAGCUCAUCAGCAAACAACGCUGGUCUGUUACUUUCGGCCAUCGCUUUUUUCUUUUUCCCUUUUCUCACCCGUUUUUUCAACCCGGUGCCUCAAGCGUUACCUUGACCCGAUGCAUGCAUGCUUGCUGGUGAGGAGUCAGGAUUUCCUGGUAGAUCUUUUUAAGCUUGCGGUCUCUUCUUUCUCUUUUUUCUUCUUCUCCGUCUUUCGUUGGGUAGUUUGGUGGCUGGUUUCUUUGAAACUUUGCAAUAGAAAAGGUGUAAUAGAAUGGGAGAGGGAAUGAACUUUGCAUGAUUUAAGAGAGCUUAAGAUAUGCUGAGCUCUGCAUCUCCGCCAACCCCACCAGCUAGAUUCAAUUCGUAGUCUUGUUUGUUGAAGCUAGCUUCAAGCCUGUAGCGGAGUACGAUGCAAGCCGAUUCUUUGCAUUGAUCACGAAAGUGACCUGCUUAGUUUUUAUUUUCAGCGUGUUUGUCUCCUGACAGAAAAUACAAGCAGUGUCCAGGAUCAAAAACUAUUGUGCUCCGAUGGAUGAUUGCAUAGUUUUUUAUUUCCGUCUUCUGGAGUUUCUUGCUUGACAACACCCUUACGUGAUUUUCUUUUUUCGUCAGGUUCCGUAGGUUUGGAACUUGGAUGUUUUGGAAUCCGAGAGCUCGUACGCGAUCAAUCUAACGAGAGGUAUGGUUAACAAAAACCUGAGUGACUUCAACUUUAUUUCUUCCAGAGUUUUGAGCAGUUCCUCAUGCAGUAUCCACUUUCGUUUUAGAGUUUCAAGUAAUCAAAUCGUAACUCCAUUGUUCGCCCCGUCCAUAGUCGUCUGCACAGGCGUCCUGAGUCAGUGGUAGCAAUCUCGGCAUUGGAUCAAUAACCUCCUCCUGCUCACUCCAUGUCGGCGAGUGUCCUGUGUCCAAAACAUUGCCCAGUCGGGAAAAAUGCUUAUUUGAAAGAAAAAGAAAAAAUUUCAAAAGCGAAACUCUCUCAACUUUUGUUUUUUUUGGUGCAUUUCUCUUUCUCCUACCUAGAGCUAGAAAAAAAAUCUGUGUCAUGGUUGAUGAGAGGUUUGCUGGGAGUUUUGACAUGUACCUUUUGCAGUAAUAACGGGGUAAUAGUUUUGAUGCAUCAGGAUUGCGGGAGGAUCACUUUGUUGCGUGCUACUCGGUGUGGUCACGGGUUGUCCGAUCAUCAUGGGAAGCCGCCUCUCCCGUUGCUGCUGCUGCUCCGUCAACAUGGAGCUGCUGCUAUCGUCCUCGUCUCUGGAGCAACUCGCUGGUACAGCCGCAGCCGACUCGAGCAAGUCGAGGCAAAGCCUGAGCUUGUUAUGAUCGGCAGUCACUCCCGUGAGAGCUCCCACCGCCAGUGCCUCAGACGCCAGGUUCUGGAGUAUGUUGAGCGCCGUAGCACCGGUUGGAGUGGUGGAGUGUGGAUCGGCGUGGUGGUCGAGAAGGACCGCUAUCAUCUCGGGGUCGGCCAGCUCUCCAGCAAUGUGGAGCGGAGUUCUUCCGUCCGGACCUGGCAUAUUGACAUUGGCUGCCCCCAGCUCUAGCAAAUUCUUGACGACUUUGCGGCUGCAGUUUGCUACGGCAUAGUGGAUGGCCAGAGUUUUAUCCAAGUCGAGGCCUUCUCCCAUCACCAUCAGCCUCACGAGCUCUACAUCCGAUGAGUCGAGUGCCUUCUGCAUCCUCCUCGUCCGCUGGUCGUCCAAAGCAUCGCUAGAAUGCGCUUCGAAGCCGUAUCCACACUUUUGCCUGAUGGCUUCUACCUCGGCUACUACUUCUCCAGGCAAGUGCUUUCGUAAAACUUCCGAGGACAGACCUGACUUUGCUACUAGUUUGGAGCAGACUGACCAGAGAUGGAGCAAGUCCUGCUUCCUCGCCGCUGCAAGUAUCCGCAUUACGUCUUCAAUCGAUGCUUUCUCAGCAAUUCCGGCCAGCUCCCUCUACAGGUACACAGAAAAGUUCCUGUUAAGUUUCUCCUCUUUGGAGUAACUCUCUCUCUCUCUCUCUCUCUCUCUCUCUCUCUCUCUCUCGGUUUUUUUUCCUUUCCUUCUUCAGUGAUCGAGUGCAAACCUGGACUAAGAUGGAGAGCUGCUCGAUGCUGAAGACUUGAGCAGCAUGCAAUGCCUCGAGAGCAAAAUCCACCGCUGAUCUGCAGUAGACGUGCCAGCAAGCGCCUUCUUUGCAACCGGUUGGAUGCGGAGGGACCAGAGAUAAUUGGCCGCUGUAUAGAAACUGGAGCAUGAGCAUGAAGACGUCGUAUCCAACAAUUCCCACAGGGAUCGGUGGCCGUCCUGGUAUGUCUUGUGAAGCUUCACUGCUGCAAAAGAUCAUCCUAAAGAAUUGGCUUCUUGCUGCCAGGACGCACUUGUGAGCGUAGACGGGCCUGCCUUCGACUGUGAAAGUCACAUCGCUGAAUGCCUGCCCGUUGGCCAGAAGGUUGAGCAAAUCACUGGAGAGCUGCUUCAGAGGCUCCUCCAGAUUCAUCCCUCCGGCCAAGUGAAGUAAGGACUUCUUCUUUCCUUUUACACUUUCAAGCCGCGAUCAUGGAAAUGAUGCAGAUGGAGGAGCAUGGGAGAAAUAGGAGAAAUGGAAGAAGCGCGGAGAAUCUGGGAGCAAAGAUGAGCAGAAAAUCCUCCGGAGACUGCGAGGAGCCAGCUUCUCACCGUAACAGGAGAGGAGCUCUUGAAGAAGACGAGCAAGAGACCGGUAUCUCCAUGCCGACAACAUCCAAACCCAGGUAUUCUUCUCCUCGCUACUUCUCCAGCUUGGUGCGUGUUAGACGCUUCUGGUUCUCCCACAUAGAGAUCAGUGCAAUUUUUUCGAGCGCUCACCUCUCAGUGAACAGGGCCUGGAAGCCGAUACACAUUGUCUUUUUUCUUCUUCCUGUUGUGUUCUGCCGUUCUGCAAGCUAUAGAUGUAGUAUAUAUAUAUUCAUGGAUUUAUAUUUUUCUUCUUUCCUUUUUUCUUUUUUCUUUCCAUCAGAGUUGACCCGGAGGAGUUCCUGUGCUCUUCGAUGGCGCUUAGCUACUAAACGCGAUCCCUCGGGAGUUUUAAAGUGAGGUCGGGUCGCUUUGACUCUUUUACUUGUUCUUUCUUUUGUGGUAUUAACAUGGCUGGCAGGCUGUAGCUAGCAAGCUAGAGACAAGGGAACCUACAGCAGAGAGUUGAUGCAAGAUAAGUUUCACUUUAAACAAUUUUUGCUGUUUUUAUUUUGUUUAGUUUGUUUUUCCUUUCGUUUUCAACUGGUUUGUGUUGCACCAUGAUUGGCAGGGGAAAAAAGAGCGUGUAGAUCUGAGAUGAGUUUGGUGAGAACCAAACCAAAACGGAACGAGCGCUCCUCGUUCUCGCUAAUCUGCUCGGGUAAGUUGUAAGUGAUCUUAUGAGUGGUUACUCAGCAAGAUUUUGGCUUUGGUCGCUCGGUCCCCUCCACUUCUAGCCUGCUACCUUUCUUCCAGAGGAAAAGUUAGAGCUUUCUUGGUUUCUAUCCCUCCUAACUUUUCCUCUCUUUUGUUCUUUGCAACAGGAAGACAAUCAUAGGCUCGGCAUUUCUAAAUCCAUCGCAAGGCGAGGAACGCUACGCUCCUUCUUGGAUCCCUAGGAAAAAGCGCAUCAAAGGUACGACUCGAUCAAAACUCUCCUUUUCCGCGACAGACACUGUGAAGCAAAAAGAAGAACUUAGUAGUAGCAAGAACUAAGAGACGAAGAACAGGGUAGGUAGAUAGGAAUUGCCUCGUUGGUAUAUCUCUAGCUGUGGCUACAUAGCACCAUAGCGCUGGCAGCACUGGGACACAGGGAGAGGAUUUCUGGAGAGUGUGACAGACAGUACAGACAGUGUACACACACUACUCAAGUCUGCUGCCGAUAAGAAAGGAUCGAGAAGUGUUGUCACAGCACAGUGGUCGUGGUGGUGGUGGUGGUGAAAGAGCAAAAGGUGGACGAGUAGCGGCACUAGCAAUAGAAUGGGCUGCAAGUUUUGCAGAGGAGGAGAGCGACCGUGCGUGCUCGCUCUGUAGACACAAUAGAGACCGACAGCAGCAGGGACAUAUGGUGACACUUCCUCCUUUUUUUUUUACUGCAUUUUACUGCUGAGCAAACAAGUAAACGACAAGCAGGCAGGGCAGACAAGUAGAAUCCUCGGGGUUUAGUAAACUAAGAGUCUAUGGAUCGAGAAGGAAAGCCCGGGAAUCAAAGCAGGAAUCAAAGCAAGAAAAACGAGCCGAGUUUUCCAGAUCUUUCGCGAAGAAGCUCAAGUGAUCUUAAAGGAAAAGCUCGAGCUUGGAAAAACCAGGAAGAAAGAAGAAGAGAAAGGCAUGGGCUGGAAGAUCCUUCUUUGGGAGGCUAAAACUUCGUGGGAUAGGUGUAGCGGUUCCACGUGCGGCUUUCUGACCGCGCUAUUUUCUAAUUAAAUUCCACAGGUUGCUCACCUUCCAUUAUCAAAUCCUGUUCGAUCACAACAAAGAAAUGUUACUUACGUAGGGUCUUCGCACUUUGAUAGAAAUCUCCUAGAACGAGUGUGGUUUCAUUUGAUCAAUGUUACUUCGAAACUUAUAAAGAAAACUACAUUGGGUAAUCGCAGUUGGUAGAAAUCUCAGUGCUUUGAUUGAUCACACCCAAGAAAUGUUACAUAUGAAGAAAAUUACAUUGGGCCAUCCAUCACACUCGAUGGAAUCGAAACUUAUGAGGAAAACUACAUUGGGUCAUCAGACUUUUGACAGAAAUCUUCAGUAGUUUGAUCACAAAAAAGUGAAGUUACUUCUAAACUUAUGAAGAAAAUUAGAUUGGCUCUUCGCACUUGAUAGAAACCUCCUUGUGUCUCAGUGGUAGUGACAACAGAAACUCAAAAGCUCACCGGAAAUCUCACGCUCUUGCGAAAAGCAUCGUCAUCGACACAGAGGAAUAGAAACAAACCGGAUGCCUCAGGACUAGAGAGCCUGUUUUCUACACCAAAGCUUCAGGUAAUACGUGCAAAGCUAGUAAGCAUCACCGGCACCCGGCUAUGGUUUCCACUGCCUUUUGUUUGUCACUGAGAAAGCACAAAAUGCAAUGGAGGUAUGCAAAGUGCAAAGAAAUGACAGGCAUCAAUCUAGCACACAUUGGUUUCUUCCAGGACUUGACGCUAAGGACAGUGCCAAAGAGCCAAUUGCCCGAGUGUGCGCAUCAACAAACACAAGCAAAGAAAAACGCAAGAAAACGAGAGAAAGAAAAAACCAUACCCGAUACGGGUUAACAAAGUUUUGAUCUCGGGAAAAACAUCGACUCGAUCACAAACUCACAGGCCCAGCUUGGUCCUUCGCCAGUGCCUCCUCUUGGCAUUGUAGCUACAAGAAAGAUAAAACCAAAAGAAGAUCAGGAAAAUCCGAUGACAACGAAUACCGGAUGGUGUUGUCGGUCCGCAUCCUGAUCCAGUGAGGGAUUGGGCGAUUCUGGCGCAGCUUCUUGCCCAGUUUCUGCUUGAUCCGGAACGUCUUGUGCGACGGC